CAAUGUCACUGGAAAUUUGGUGCAAAAUUUCUGACUACACUCCCGACCGCCAAAAAAACCUAAAGAAAUGGUGAAAAGCAGCGAGUAAGAAAUAGCACUGAAAGUAAAUGUUUGUUCAAAAAUAUAGGCAAACAUUUGUGGUUUAAUACUUUGAUAAUAUUGCAGGCAUUUUAUUUAUCAUAUUGAUCAAAUGAGUACCCAUUUUAUGUUGUCUACAGAUAGAAGAGAACAUAGGCACACACUGAUACUGCUCUUCUUUAUCCUCUGUCCUAUUCAACCAAACUCCUUAAUAAUAGGAAAAUACCAAGGGCAAGGAAUCUAUUUUCCAGGUCAAAAGCUGUUGCUAAGGUUAGAGGUAGUAGGUAGAGAGGAAUUCCAAUUGCUCUAUAGAGUUGACAUCAAGUUGUUUUUGUUUUCCUUAAGCUAGAUGUUAAUAGUGGUGGUGAUUUCAUAAUUAUACCUGUCUUCUACAACAUUUGGAAAAAUCUACCUAAUUUUUUCCCGUUUUAACCUAUCAGUAUCUGACACUGGAAUCAGUAAUGCUAGAAUGUUGUGAAUAGUCAAAGUAAAAAUAUUAGGUCACCACAGUUAUUACUCAAGUGGUGAAUGAAUGUUGUAGGCAGGCAAUGUCACAAAGUUGACAAAUACCAAGCACCAACCCUAUAACAGGUCCUGUUUGGUUGCUGGGGAUACCAUGCUGAACAAGUCAGACAUGGAUUUUAAUUGUUAAUGAGGGGACACAGGUGUAAUAGUUUUAGAUGGUAAAUAUAGGGAGAAAAGAAAAAGGAUGAGAUAAAGAAUUACCAGAGUGUGUGAAGCAAAUUUGACAGAAACUAGAAACCCAUAGCUCAAGAGCCAAGCUUAGGGCUGGGGUUGUGGCUCAGUGGUAGAGCGCUUGCUUGGCAUGUGUGAGGCAGUGGGUUCAAUUCCCAGCACUGCACAUAAAUAAAUAAAAGUCGAUCAACAUAUAAUUUUUUUUUUUUUUAAAGAGCCAAGCUUAAAAGCAGUCAGAUACAUUGCACAGAGAAUAAUAAUGCCAGCAGACUUCUCGCUUAAAAAAAAAAAAUGUAGGCCAGGGUACUGCCGGAUGGAAGGGUGGGAAGGGUUCUCACAGCUUGCAGCGUCCACCAGAAGGCAGGGCAGCAGAGGGGAUGGGCGUGGCGGCCGCCAGAACACAACGCCCUCUAUAACGCCUGGCUCCCCUCCACCAGCUGCCAUGAGCUAGCGCCUCUACCCCAGGAAAAGAAGGAAUGGUGAUGAAGCAGAUAACCAUCUCCCCUCUGCCCCCACAGACCAAAAGGAGUAGUAGAAACCCUAUCUUUCAAGAUUCCUAGGACACGAGUCCGAGCAGUGACAGUAGCGGGAGCAGCAGCAGCAGUAGCACCAACAUUCCUCACAGGGCCAAGGGGCCAGAGAGCGGCUUAAACCAGGUCAUGCCCGGAUCCAGCCCUAAAACCCCUCAGCCCAUGGCCAGCAGUCUGCGCUGUGGCAAGGUCCUUAUUUCCACAUCAGCCAGACCCUGAUGAUGAAGCCCACUUUCACAGCCUACAGCACCCAGGAUGGCCUCCGACCUGAUGCGUGGACAGUUUCUUGGCUUCUAUGAAGGGACAGCCUUGUGCAGAUUUGAUAUUUCAACUUAUGAUUUGUUUUAAAUAAAUUGCACACAAAAAAUGCCUAUUGGCUUUUUACUCUAUAUUUGAAAUAACAUACACUUGUGGUUUUACUGCACUAUUGCAAUUUCAAAGGAGCUUUGAAGCACUUUAUAGGAUUUUUUUUGAAGGAGGGUAUCAAAUC
rnacentral:lncRNA from 1 species